CUUCCGUACUCCACAACAAACACGCUGCAAGUGAGCGAUCUAACCGUUAGGGGAAAGUCUCGGCGGAAUAAUGGACUCUUCCACGGGUAUCAGAACCGCCGGAAGGCGCUGAGCGCUGACGGGCCUCCCUCGCCGUCUCGUGACGUCAGGAUCAUCUCGUUUUCUGAGGAGGUUGCAGCGCGCAGUCAGCAGCCGGCGGCACGGGCAGUGGAGAAUGCGUGGACGCCAUGCGGCGCUUAAGCCACUUAAAUUUCGUUGUGCUGAAUGGUGGCUACUGGAGAGAGAUUGGAAGUGUAAAUUUAAAUAGCAUUUGCUGUCAAAACAGCUGUAACGCUGCCUCUGUGGUAGUUCCUUGUUGGAGCGUCUUUGCAUACCGUGUUUAUGGACGUCAUCAUUGUAUGCAUGUAAAUUUUGUGUGAUGAACAAAUGGAACGAAACAGUCAA